rnacentral:rRNA from 1 species
UAAAGCAAGAAAGGGCGUAUGGGGAAUGCCUAGGCACACUCCGGCGAAGAAGGACGCAGCAAACAGCGAAAUGCGACGGUGAGCGGUAAGCACGUGAAGAGCCGUCGAUAUCCGAAUGGGGGAACCCACACGGAGUCAUAUCCGUGUAUCACAUGUCGAAUACAUAGACAUGAUGAGGCGAGACGCAGGGAACUGAAACAUCUAAGUACCUGCAGGAAGAGAAAAUAAGAAUGAUUUUCUGAGUAGCGGCGAGCGAAAGGGAAAGAGCCCAAACCGAUUUGAGGAUCGGGGUAGUAGGAUCAUCGAGGAAUCUGACAGAGGAUCAUAGAGGAAUCACAUGGGAAGGUGAGCGAGAGAGGGUGAGAGCCCCGUACUCGAAAUGAGAGACUGGAGAGAGAUGACACCUGAGUAGGGCGGGACACGAGAAAUCCUGUCUGAAUCAGCCGGGACCAUCCGGCAAGGCUAAAUACGAGAGAGUGACCGAUAGUGAACCAGUACCGUGAGGGAAAGGUGAAAAGAACCCCGGGAGGGGAGUGAAAGAGAACCUGAAACCAUAUGCCUACAAGAAGUCAGAGCCCGUUAAAGGGUGAUGGCGUGCCUUUUGUAGAAUGAACCGGCGAGUUACUGUAUGGAGCGAGGUUAAGCAGGAUAUGCGGAGCCGAAGCGAAAGCGAGUCUUAAGAGGGCGCGAGUUGCAUGCAGUAGACCCGAAACCGGGUGAUCUAGCCAUGACCAGGUUGAAGUUGGGGUAAAACCCGAUGGAGGACCGAACCGACCCCCGUUGAAACGUUGGCGGAUGAGUUGUGGCUAGGGGUGAAAUUCCAAUCGAACCCGGAGAUAGCUGGUUCUCCCCGAAAUAGCUUUAGGGCUAGCGUCGAGAGAAGAGUUGCGUGAAGGUAGAGCACUGAAUAUGUGAUGGCCCCAUCUCGGGGUACUGAGCAUAAUCAAACUGCGAAUGUCACGAGAACAUGCUCGGCAGUCAGACAGCGGGUGAUAAGGUCCGUUGUCAAGAGGGAAACAGCCCAGACCAUCAGCUAAGGUCCCAAAAUGUAUGCUAAGUGGAAAAGGAUGUGGAGAUGUACAGACAACUAGGAGGUUGGCUCAGAAGCAGCCAUCCUUUAAAGAGUGCGUAACAGCUCACUAGUCGAAUGACUCUGCGCCGAUAAUUUACCGGGGCUAAGCAUACUACCGAAGCUAUGGAUCCCAAGGGAUGGUAGGGGAGCGUUCCAUGAACGGAGAAGUACGACCGAAAGGACGUGUGGAGAUCAUGGAAGAGAGAAUGCCGGUGUGAGUAGCGGAACGUGGGUGAGAAUCCCACGCACCGAAAACCCAAGGUUUCCAGAGGAAGGUUCGUCCGCUCUGGGUAAGUCGGGACCUAAGGCGAGGCCGAAAGGCGUAGUCGAUGGACAACAGGUAGAGAUUCCUGUACCCGUAUAUAUGUGAAGGAAUGACGGAGAGAGGAAGCUGCAGCCAGCGGCUGGAAGAGCUGGUGCAAGCGAGAUAUCGGGAUGGCAGGCAAAUCCACCAUCCGAAACGAGAAGGCGUGAAGCGUACGGAAAGCUACGGCGAGUACGGAAGGCAGUGGAGGAACUUCCAAGAAAAGUUUCUAACGUUAAGUAUAUAUGGCCCGUACCGAAAAUGGACACACAUGGGUGAGGAGAGAAUCCUAAGGUGAGCGAGAGAACUAUAGCUAAGGAACUCUGCAAAAUGACUCCGUAACUUAGGGAGAAGGAGUGCUCAUAGAGAUAUGAGCCGCAGUGAAACGGCCCAAGCGACUGUUUACCAAAAACACAGCUCUCUGCUAAGCCGCAAGGCGAAGUAUAGGGGGUGACGCCUGCCCGGUGCUGGAAGGUUAAGGGGAGGGGUUAACGCAAGUGAAGCCCUGAACUGAAGCCCCAGUAAACGGCGGCCGUAACUAUAACGGUCCUAAGGUAGCGAAAUUCCUUGUCAGGUAAGUUCUGACCC